rnacentral:rRNA from 1 species
UACGGAGAGAGCAAGCAUUACUCAUCUUAACUGGGUCUAAAGGGUGCGUAGGUGGAUAAUAUCUAGAAGACUAGGCGGUAAUUGCUGUGUUGGCAAGUUUUCCUAGUACCAAUUGUCUUGAGAUACAAAGAAGUUGUUAGAAUAUGCGGUGUUCAAUUGUUCAGGAAACUGUCGAUCUCGCAGGGACUACUCAGAGCGAAGGCAUUCAACUUGUUGUUAUCUGACACUGAGGCACGAAAAUGUGGGGGAGCAAAAGGG